UGCAAGUCGAACGGACCCGCAAGGGUUAGUGGCGGAAGGGUCAGUAAUACGAUCGAAUGUACCCCGAGGUUGGGGAUAGGCAUGGGAAACUGUGCGUAAUACCCGAUAAGCACCACGGUGGAAAGAUUUAUCGCCUUGGGAGCAGCGAUCGUCCUAUCAGGUAGUUGGCGGGGUAAUGGCCCACCAAGCCGAAGACGGGUAGCCGGUGUGAGAGCACGGCCGGCGACAUCGGGACUGAGACACUGCCCGGACUCCUACGGGAGGCUGCAGUAACGAAUAUUCCGCAAUGGGCGAAAGCCUGACGGAGCAAUGCCGCGUGCAGGAUGAAGCGGUUUCGCCGUGUAAACUGCUGUCAGGGACAAGAAAAACUGAUCUGUCCCAGAGGAAGAGACGGCUAACCCUGUGCCAGCAGCCGCGGUAAGACAGGGGUCUCGAGCGUUAAUCGGAAUCACUGGGCUUAAAGGGUGCGUAGGCGGAUCAGUAAGUGUCGUGUGAAAGCCCCCGGCUCAACCGGGGAACCGCAUGGCAAACUGCUGAUCUUGAGGAAGCUAGAGGCCGGUAGAACGAUUGGUGGAGCGGUGGAAUGCGUAGAUAUCAAUCGGAAUGCCUAAAGUGAAGACAGCCGGCUGGGGCUUUCCUGACGCUGAGGCACGAAAGCGUGGGGAGCAAACAGGAUUAGAUACCCUGGUAGUCCACGCCCUAAACGAUGCGCACUAGACUGGAGCAGCUCUGACGCUGUUCUGGUCGUAGAGAAAUUGCUAAGUGCGCCGCCUGGGGAGUACGGUCGCAAGGCUAAAACUCAAAGGAAUUGACGGGGGCUCACACAAGCGGUGGAGCAUGUUGCUUAAUUCGAAUCAACGCGAAGAACCUUACCUGGGUUUGACAUGGUCGGAUUAGUUUCUGGAAACAGGAAUGACACUCGCAAGAGUGGAACGAUCACAGGUGCUGCAUGGCUGUCGUCAGCUCGUGCUGUGAAGUGUCGGGUUAAGUCCUCUAACGAGCGCAACCCCUGUCGCUAGUUGCCAACACGUCAUGGUGGGGACUCUAGCGAGACUGCCGCUGUAAGGCGGAGGAAGGUGGGGAUGACGUCAAGUCCUCAUGGCCCUUACAUCCAGGGUUGCAAACGUGCUACAAUGGCGCGUACAGAGCGACGCGAGGCCGCAAGGCGGAGCAAAUCGCAAAAAGCGCGCCCCAGUUCGGAUUGCAGGCUGCAACUCGCCUGCAUGAAGUCGGAAUCGCUAGUAAUCGGAGAUCAGCUACGCUCCGGUGAAUACGUUCCUGAGCCUUGUACACACCGCCCGUCAAGUCAUGGGAGCCGGUAGUGCCCAAAGUCGCCACGUUCCAGCAGUGCCUACGGCAAGAUCGGUGACUGGGACUAAGUCGUAACAAGGUA
rnacentral:rRNA from 1 species